rnacentral:rRNA from 1 species
UCCGGUUGAUCCUGCCGGCGGUCACCGCUAUCGGAGUCCGACUAAGCCAUGCGAGUCGAGAGGGUUCGGCCCUCGGCGCACCGCUCAGUAACACGUGGAUAACCUACCCUCGGGUGGGGGAUAACCUCGGGAAACUGAGGCUAAUACCCCAUAGGCCUGGGAUGCUGGAAUGCUUCCAGGCCGAAAGCUCCGGCGCCCGAGGAUGGGUCUGCGGCCUAUCAGGUUGUAGUGAGGGUAACGGCCUCACUAGCCGACGACGGGUACGGGCCCUGGGAGGGGGAGCCCGGAGAUGGACUCUGAGACAUGAGUCCAGGCCCUACGGGGCGCAGCAGGCGCGAAACCUUCGCAAUGCGCGAAAGCGCGACGAGGGGACUCCGAGUGCCUAUGCUCAGCAUAGGCUGUUCACCGGUGUAAAAAGCCGGUGGAGGAAGGGGUGGACAAGACUGGUGCCAGCCGCCGCGGUAAUACCAGCGCCCCAAGUGGUGAUCGAUAUUAUUGGGUCUAAAACGUCCGUAGCCGGCCCGGUAAAUCUCCGGGUAAAUCGUCCAGCUCAACUGGUCGAAUUCUGGGGAGACUGCCGGGCUUGGGACCGGGAGAGGUGGAGGUACUCCAGGGGUAGGGUGAAAUCUA